UACGGAGGGAGCUAGCGUUGUUCGGAAUUACUGGGCGUAAAGCGCACGUAGGCGGCUUUGUAAGUUAGAGGUGAAAGCCCGGAGCUCAACUCCGGAACUGCCUUUAAGACUGCAUCGCUUGAAUCCAGGAGAGGUGAGUGGAAUUCCGAGUGUAGAGGGUGAAAUUCGUAGAUAUUCGGAAGAACACCAGUGGCGGAAGGCGGCUCACUGGACUGGUAUUGACGCUGAGGUGCGAAAGCGUGGGGAGCAAACAGG
rnacentral:rRNA from 1 species